rnacentral:lncRNA from 1 species
AUAAACUAUGCAUGUAGAUCAUUGUUAGUAACAGCUUUUUCUUUGCUAUGGAAAAUUUCAAACAUAUAUAAAAGUAGAAAGAAUGGUAUGUAUAAUGAAUCUCCAUGCCCCAUCACCCAACUUCAAAAAUUGUCCACUCAGCUAAUCCUACUCAUCUAUAGCCCCACCAUAACUCCCCAAUCAUACACACAUCACUAGCACCUGAUUAUUUUGAAGCAAAUUCCAG